rnacentral:misc_RNA from 1 species
AACCUAGCACACCUGCGGUGUGUACCUGCGGAGGGAUCAUUACCGAGUGAGGGCCCUCCGGGUCCAACCUCCCACCCGUGUUUAACGAACCUUGUUGCUUCGGCGGGCCCGCCUCACGGCCGCCGGGGGGCACUCCGCCCCCGGGCCCGCGCCCGCCGAAGACACCUGUGAACGCUGUCUGAAGUUGCAGUCUGAGACACUAGCUCAAUCAGUUAAAACUUUUAACAAUGGAUCUCAGAU